rnacentral:rRNA from 1 species
GCAGUCGAGCGGACAGAUGGGAGCUUGCUCCCUGAUGUUAGCGGCGGACGGGUGAGUAACACGUGGGUAACCUGCCUGUAAAACUGGGAUAACUCCGGGAAACCGGGGCUAAUACCGGAUGGUUGUUUGAACCGCAUGGUUCAAACAUAAAAGGUGGCUUCGGCUACCACUUACAGAUGGACCCGCGGCGCAUUAGCUAGUUGGUGAGGUAACGGCUCACCAAGGCAACGAUGCGUAGCCGACCUGAGAGGGUGAUCGGCCACACUGGGACUGAGACACGGCCCAGACUCCUACGGGAGGCAGCAGUAGGGAAUCUUCCGCAAUGGACGAAAGUCUGACGGAGCAACGCCGCGUGAGUGAUGAAGGUUUUCGGAUCGUAAAGCUCUGUUGUUAGGGAAGAACAAGUACCGUUCGAAUAGGGCGGUACCUUGACGGUACCUAACCAGAAAGCCACGGCUAACUACGUGCCAGCAGCCGCGGUAAUACGUAGGUGGCAAGCGUUGUCCGGAAUUAUUGGGCGUAAAGGGCUCGCAGGCGGUUUCUUAAGUCUGAUGUGAAAGCCCCCGGCUCAACCGGGGAGGGUCAUUGGAAACUGGGGAACUUGAGUGCAGAAGAGGAGAGUGGAAUUCCACGUGUAGCGGUGAAAUGCGUAGAGAUGUGGAGGAACACCAGUGGCGAAGGCGACUCUCUGGUCUGUAACUGACGCUGAGGAGCGAAAGCGUGGGGAGCGAACAGGAUUAGAUACCCUGGUAGUCCACGCCGUAAACGAUGAGUGCUAAGUGUUAGGGGGUUUCCGCCCCUUAGUGCUGCAGCUAACGCAUUAAGCACUCCGCCUGGGGAGUACGGUCGCAAGACUGAAACUC